UUUUGGAGGAAGAUCUUCAUUAUUUAAUCAUUCACCUUUUGGGUUCCUAAGAGGAUUCAUUUGACCAUAAAUUUAAACACAGCAUGAGACACUCAUCCUUUGGGGUUUGGUUCUCAAAUACUUUAAAGAAUCAUAUAGGAGAGCUGGACUAUCCCAUUAAAUACCGAUAACUUCCUAGUUUUUAAUGGCUUGAUGUGGUCAGUGUGCAUGCCAUCCUGGUUCUAACGUCACCAACACAUGAAACAAAAAGUAGAAAUGGCACUGCUGAGUAAUCACAAGCCAUUGACUAAAGAAACUUCAGGGAAGGCGGGGCAAUGAGCAUUCUUUGAACCACUUAAUUCAAGAAAUAACAGGCUUUGUUUAUUUAAGAGGGCUCUCUCUCCUUAGCUGACUGAAAGGCUUUCUUUUUCAGCUCCAUGACUGCAGAAUAAAUAAGAGCAAUAACUAUUUAUUAUCUUUGCAUUUAGAUGAGUUGGGUACAUUCAGUU
rnacentral:lncRNA from 1 species